rnacentral:rRNA from 1 species
AAGGGAAUUGACGGGGACCCGCACAAGCAGUGGAGUAUGUGGUUUAAUUCGAAGCAACGCGAAGAACCUUACCAGGUCUUGACAUCCCUCUGACCGUCCUAGAGAUAGGGCUUUCCUUCGGGACAGAGGAGACAGGUGGUGCAUGGUUGUCGUCAGCUCGUGUCGUGAGAUGUUGGGUUAAGUCCCGCAACGAGCGCAACCCUUGAUYUUAGUUGCCAGCACUUUGGGUGGGCACUCUAGGAUGACUGCCGGUGACAAACCGGAGGAAGGUGGGGAUGACGUCAAAUCAUCAUGCCCCUUAUGACCUGGGCUACACACGUACUACAAUGGCCGAUACAACGGGAAGCGAAACCGCGAGGUGGAGCCAAUCCUAUCAAAGUCGGUCUCAGUUCGGAUUGCAGGCUGCAACUCGCCUGCAUGAAGUCGGAAUUGCUAGUAAUCGCGGAUCAGCAUGCCGCGGUGAAUACGUUCCCGGGUCUUGUACACACCGCCCGUCACACCACGAGAGUUUACAACACCCGAAGCCGGUGGGGUAACCGCAAGGAGCCAGCCGUCGAAGGUGGGGUAGAUGAUUGGGGUGAAGUCGUAACAAGGUAGCCGUAUCGGAAGGUGCGGCUGGAUCMAACCUC